UAAUACGAAGGGUGCAAGCGUUAAUCGGAAUUACUGGGCGUAAAGCGCGCGUAGGUGGUUUUGUAAGUUGGAGGUGAAAUCCCCGGGCUCAACCUGGGAACUGCCUCCAAAACUGCAUGACUAGAGUACGGUAGAGGGUAGUGGAAUUUCCUGUGUAGCGGUGAAAUGCGUAGAUAUAGGAAGGAACACCAGUGGCGAAGGCGACUACCUGGACUGAUACUGACACUGAGGUGCGAAAGCGUGGGGAGCAAACAGG
rnacentral:rRNA from 1 species